CCUUUUCUUGGCUGAUCCCUUUCGCUGUAUGGCAUGCUCGUUUGGGUUGGACGUCGGCUAAGAGUGCUCGGAGUGUGGAUUAACUCCAGUCUCCUAUCAGGUGUGUAUUAACUCCAGUCUCCUAUCAGGUGUGUGUUUCUUGCUACUCUAGCUGUAGGAUGGCUACUUCGGGCCGUGAUGGGCCGAAAAGGGUCAUGUGGGCCUAAUGGGCCUACGGGCUCAAUUGGAUAAGUUGUUUGAUUGUGUAGUAAAUAUUGGACUAGGCUAGGUGAAUCUCAUAUUUGUGGCUAGAUUUGGGUUAAAAGGGCCACACAAGCGUAUGGGCCCAUUUGGGCCGAGAAUAGGCUUUAGGCCCAUUCGUAUUGUUAUCCCUGUUUAGAAUAGUUUAGUUUACCAAAUUACUGAAAUGCCCUCGAUUUGUAGAAUUACCAUUUUACCCUCGAUUUAUAGAAUUACCGUUUCACCCUCGAUUUACAAAAUUACUGUUUUACCCUCAAUUUAUAGAAUUACCAUUUUACCUCGAUUUAUAGAAUUACCGUUUUACCCUCGAUUUACAAAAUUACCAUUUUACCCUCAAUUUACAAAAUUACCAUUUUACCCUCGAUUGUGAAAUUAUUAAAAUACCAUUGUAGGAUAGAAUUACCAAAAUACCCCUAGUUUGUAAAAUUACCAAAAUACCCCUAGUUUGUAAAAUUACCAAAAUACCCCUAGUUUGUAAAAUUACCGAAAUACCACUGUUUUGUGAAAUUACUGAAAUACCUUCAAUUUGUAAAAUUACCAAAAUACCCCUGAUUUACAAAAUUACAAAAAUACCCUUGACUUUCUAAAAAUUAUAGAAAUACCAUUGGUUUACAAAAUUACUGAAAUACCCUUGGUUUGUAGAUUUACCAAAACAUCCUUGUAGGAUGAAAUGACUAAAAUACCCCUAAUAGGUAAAAAGACCGUAAAGCCCCUAUAGGGUAAAGUGACCGUAAUACCCUUGUAUGGUAAAAUGAUGAAUAUGCCCUUAUAUUCCGUAUGACUGAUGUGCUUAGGAUUUACAUAUAUUGAUAUUGGAUUAGUUAAGUUUGAGUAACAGGUGGUGGUUAUCGUAGGUGAUUGAUUAUGGAAACGUUUCAACUUUAACCCAUAACAGGUGUGUACUAACCCUCGCAGUAGCUUAGAUUAAUAUCUGCUGACAAGCCGAAAUGCUAAAAUACCUGCAUUUCGGGAACUUGUAAUGUUGCGUGUGGGUAUAGAUGCAAUAAAUACGAUAAGAUCGGUGUUUGGAUCAAUGGAACGGGUAAGAACUCAAUUUUGUGCACGAUGGUAAGUUGGGCCUCAAUGGGCAGGAAUUGGGCCAAUGGGCUUUAAUUGGGCCAAUGGGCUUUUGGGCCCAUUUGGGUAAAAUUGAUAGAAAAUGGAAUUUGGAAAAGUUGCAUGUUAACACGGUUAGUAUUGUUGUAAAAUUUGGGUUAAGCAGGCUUAGUGGGCUAAAUCAGCAUUCGUAGGGCCCAUUAGGGGUUUUGGGCCCAAAAGCUUGAAUUUGAUAAGUGGGUUAAAGAUCAUUGUUUAAACACUCGGAAAUAUUGACAAUUGUAAUGAACAUGGAAAACCCUAAUUUUUGGUAAAAUUACGAAAAUACCCUUAUAAUAUGAAAAAUGACUAUUUUGCCCUUGUGGGCAAGUGAUUGACUUGGACUGUGUGGUUGACGGAUUUGAUUGUGAAUAUAUGUUGGUGAUAUGAAUGACUUGACUGUGAUUGUUUGAUUCAAAUAUGGGCAUGACAUUCUGCAUACAUGACAUAUUGCAUAAGAUAUGGGUUAUAUUGAUGGAGGAAGUGCUAAAAGGGCUCUGCCCCAGUUUACCGAAAAGGGCUCUGCCCCAGUUUAUCAGAAAGGGCUUUGCCCCAGUUAUUAAAAGAGGCUAGGCCCCCAGUUAUAUGAUAAAGCAGCUAUGUUGCCAGUGGAGAGUUUGGUUGGGUGGGUUGAGUUAUUCCCCACAUGGAGAGCUUGGUUGGUAUGGGUGGAGAGUAGCGGAUGAUGGGUCGAGUAGUCACCCCAAAUGGGCUUGCAUACAUUCAUUGACAUUACAUGUGAUAUUGAAAUGGGCUUGCAUACAUCCAUUGACAUUACAUGUGAUAUUGAAAUGGGCCUAAGGGCCAUACCAUUUACAGUAAAGGUUUCGGCCCAGUGAUAUGAUUUAUGAAAAGGCUUCGGCCCAGUGAUAUGAUUUAUGGAAAGGCUUCGGCACAGUAUAUGUCAAGACUAAAUAGGGCUUUGGCCCAGAUUGUACUGAUACCGUGUUAUUUACUGUUUGUUUGUUAUUGGGAUUACACACUGAGUUUUCGUAAACUCACCCCAUUUCUAACUGUGCAGGUAAUCCCUAAGCUUAGAUGGUUUGGAGCUGCGAGGGACUCGGAGAUGGCCACACUACUGUUUCUGUUUCUUUUAAUUGCAAUAAGUAGCCGAUUUAUUUCUUUAUAAGUUUUAUCUUAUUAAUAUUAUUAUUUGGUUUUGGGUUGUAAUAAUGCCAUUUUAAUUAUUUUUAUGGGAUUAUUUUAUCUUAUACCCUAUAUUUUUCUAAUAACAAUAUGAGUUAGAC
rnacentral:lncRNA from 1 species